rnacentral:tRNA from 1 species
GCGCCCGUAGCUCAAAGGAUAGAGUAUCUGUCUUCGGAACAGAGGGUUGCAGGUUCGAGUCCUGCCGGGCGCA